UCCCGGAUCAUUUUCCAGAAGCCCAAAGCGGAAGCUCAUUUGUGAUCUCAUUGAUCUCACGGGGGCGAUUGGCAAGGCUGGGAUUUUUCUCACAAGGCGCUGGCGACACACUUGAACAAGACAUUUCAAGACGUUUAAACCAUCCCCUUGGUCUCUCCUGGUUUCUCCUGCUCACUCGCCUACUUGUGAUGGAGGAUGCUGUACCCAGGGCCUCUUCCUGCUGCCAGUGUGGGAACCAGGCUGCUCACGUGGGCCUAGAAGUCACUGAGCAAAAUCCUCCUUUCAUUCUAAACAGAUCCUCAUUGUGGAGAAUCUCAGGUUCUCAGGUGAAACCAGCCGCCUCCGUAAAUAGCUUCUGGGGAAAACUGCUUUUGUGGAUGGAAGGAAGCAAGGCUGGCAUACUGAUUUCAAGCUGACGACAUCCCUCAUUGCACAGUUGGGAGGAGACAAGCACCGUGCAGCACACCUUGACAUCAUCACACAGUCCUCUGACCGCAUGUGGCCCGAGCUGUCGAAUCCGUGGACGCUUAAAGGGACUGCCAGUUGGAUGGGAAAUCUGGUGCAUCGUCCUCAUGCUAGAGCUGGUAUCACAUGACCCACCCCUCCCUCUCUGAGAAUAAAUAUUCUUUCACUCCAUUGGCUUGUUUCACUCCACUUCCUUGUUUCU